UCAUUUUUUUGUGUGGGCCACGCUCCAAAACUUGUGAGACUGAUUCGGGAGAAUAAUGAAAAAACUUCCAGAACAGAAAUGUCGAAAAUUUGCAUAUAUAUUAUAAGAAGAAAAUUAAAUGGAUUUCAAUGAUUCGUUGCUAAAUAAACAUUUAGUUAUAAAGAAAUAAAACAUUAUUAGUUAUGGAAUAAAAAUUAAUAAUUGGAACUGAGGGAUCUUCAUUAAAAUUUCCGCGUCUCCGCAGUUGAAAUAAGAAAAUGUCGCACAAACUGAUCCCACAUAUUGAAAACAACAUAAUAAUUCAAAAGCUGGAUAAUAGUUCCAUGUAAAUGGAAAAUAUGAAUCAACAUAUAAUGUAUAAUUUUUAAAAUGUCCUGGACUAUUCCAAUUAGUCGUCCAUCAUAAAACUGUAAAGAGUUGACAUUUCUGAAAUAAUGCAAUUAAUUUUAUAUAUAACAAAGUAAUAAGGACCAAAUAAGAAUCGUAAAAAUUUAAGAAUAAUUAAAAUAUCGUUAUUUUCGAAGAUAUUU